rnacentral:lncRNA from 1 species
GUAGCAGGACUAGAAACUGUGAUGAGGAUCAAAAGGUCAAGUUGCUUGGUCAUUAGUUCUUUCCGUUAAUUCUCUUGAGGUUUGUGCACCAGUACAGAAGGUUCGAAGGUGAAGGAAGAUGAUAUUUUGUAAGCCAAUCAAGUCUUCUUUCCAAUGGAUCAAACCUUACAAGAUUUGGACUUUUAUACCAAGAGUUAUGGCAAUUUCAUUUAAGACUAUGCAGGUUGUCACGUUGACGCGCGUGGAUUGUAAAACGUGGUUAGUCUCUAUUCUAGAAGCCCUU